CCCAUCCAAACUUUCGGGAAGGCGAGGGAGCGCGAGAAACAAGAGUGAUGUUAGCCUCCGCCGUGUCGCCGUUCAUGUCCCUCCUCUCGCCUCCCUCCCUCUCUAACUCCAAGCUCCCGGAUUGUGCCAAGCUCCGGCCAGACGGCGCCGGACGGUUCCGCUGCUCCGCGGGGCAGACCGGGUUCUUCACUAGACUUGGCCGUCUGAUUAAAGAGAAGGCCAAGAGCGACGUAGAGAAGAUCUUCUCCGGCUUCUCCAAGACCCGCCAGAACCUCGCUGUCAUCGAUGAGCUCCUUCUCUACUGGAACCUCUCCGAAACUGACCGCGUCCUCGACGAGCUCGAAGAGGCCUUGCUGGUAUCCGAUUUCGGCCCUAAGAUUUCGAUGAAGAUUGUUGAUAGUCUGCGAGAUGAUAUAUUGGCGGGGAACCUCAAAUCUGGAAGUGAGAUAAAGGAUGCACUGAAAAAAAGUGUUCUUGAGCUGUUGAAGACCAAAGGUAGCAAGACUGAACUUCAACUGGGAUUCAGGAAGCCUGCUGUUAUUAUGGUGGUUGGUGUGAAUGGAGGUGGAAAGACGACAUCCCUUGGAAAACUUGCUCAUAGGUUGAAGAAUGAAGGGGUUAAGGUAUUAAUGGCAGCUGGUGACACGUUUAGAGCUGCAGCUAGUGAACAGCUAGAAGUAUGGGCAGAGAGAACUGGAUCAGAAAUAGUUACAGCUCAAGAUGAUAAAGUUAAAGCCUCAUCAGUUCUUUCGCAGGCUGUAAAGAAGGGGAAGGAACAAGGAUAUGACGUUGUUCUAUGUGAUACAUCUGGGCGUCUGCACACAAAUUAUAGCUUGAUGGAAGAGUUGAUUGCAUGCAAGAAAGCUGUUGCCAAAGUCGUCUCCGGGGCUCCUAAUGAGGUCCUGCUGGUUUUGGAUGGAACAACAGGCUUAAAUAUGCUUCCUCAAGCAAGAGAAUUUAAUGAGGUGGUUGGAAUCACGGGCUAUAUUUUGACAAAGCUUGAUGGUUCUGCUCGAGGUGGCUGCGUGGUCAGUGUUGUUGAUGAGAUUGGCAUCCCUGUAAAAUUUGUGGGUGUUGGCGAAGGGGUGGAUGACCUACAACCUUUUGAUGCUGAGGGCCUUUUGUCGAUGCUAUUUUCUCUUGAGCUAUCAGAAAGACAUGGACUGCUUGAGCCAAUUCCUAUAAACGCUCAUAACUUUUGCCUACCACCUACCUUUGGAAAGAAUGAUUUUGCACAUAUUUGCAAGGCAACAGCAAUGGAGACACAUAAGUGAAAUAUUGGUUAUCAUUUUGCUGUUUGAAUUGACGCCAGUUUACAAAGUGAAGAUCAAGCACCCAAGAAGUAUACUUCAAGCUGAAUUAUAAACAGCUCCAGAGGCAAAGAAAGCGAAGCUUGACGAUCCUAUGACUAAGAUCAAGAGAAGUCUGGACUUCAUUGUCACCAGAGACUCGGCGGUGGAUGCCCCUCUGUCACGUCCUCCUUCCCCUGGCGAGGAGUAGUGUCCUAUUUUUUCUUUGUUCUCUAAAGGAUCUCGGGGUCCUUUAGCUGUUCUUUUUCUUUUUCUCCUACUGUUGGGCUGCUGGUUUUGUUUUCCCACUUCUGGUGGAUCUUUUGUUGAACCUGGCCUUUUUGUACUACUGUCUUUUUAUAA